rnacentral:rRNA from 1 species
GACGAACGCUGGCGGCGUGCUUAACACAUGCAAGUCGAACGGAAAGGCCCUGCUUUUGUGGGGUGCUCGAGUGGCGAACGGGUGAGUAACACGUGAGUAACCUGCCCUUGACUUUGGGAUAACUUCAGGAAACUGGGGCUAAUACCGGAUAGGAGUUCCUGCUGCAUGGUGGGGGUUGGAAAGUUUCGGCGGUUGGGGAUGGACUCGCGGCUUAUCAGCUUGUUGGUGGGGGAGUGGCUUACCAAGGCAUUGACGGGUAGCCGGCCUGAGAGGGUGACCGGCCACAUUGGGACUGAGAUACGGCCCAGACUACUACGGGAGGCAGCAGUGGGGAAUAUUGCACAAUGGGCGGAAGCCUGAUGCAGCAACGCCGCGUGCGGGAUGACGGCAUUCGGGUUGUAAACCGCUUUCGCCUGUGACGAAGCGUGAGUGACGGUAAUGGGUAAAGAAGCACCGGCUAACUACGUG